CAUCAUGAAUCACCUUCCUCGUAAAAUCAUAAUUAUAGAUACGGGCAUUUUCCAUAGAAAAGGAGAACCUUGUGUUACAAUAGAAGCAGAAGUGAUGUGGAUUAUUCAAGAAUCGAAGUCGAUUUGCUUUAUAAAAAGAAGAUAUCAAUGAACUUCUAUGAAAUGGUUUCACGGGAUUCGGCCAAUUGUCUUGAUUGUGGAAUAUCAUUGAGAAAUAGGAAUCCGUGCCUACCCAAUAAAAUAUAUCCGACAUCCAUAGGAACUACAAUGUACAGGAACGACAAUG
rnacentral:lncRNA from 1 species